rnacentral:pre_miRNA from 1 species
AAAGUACUCCCUCCGGUUGGAAUUACUUGUCUAGAAAAUGAAUGUAUCUAGAUGUAUUUUAGUUCUAGAUACAUCCGUUUCCGAGACAAGUAAUUCCGAACGGAGGGAGUAGUAU